rnacentral:lncRNA from 1 species
ACCACAACAAAUUUGUUUAAAUGCAUUAAUCCUCCAUUUUGCAUUGCCUUGCAUAUAAAAAUAAAAAAAAUAAAAAUUAAUAAAAUAUUUGCCUCUUGUCUUCAUCACUCAAUAUCUUGUCUCUAGUAUAAUGAAUCUUGUUCAUCCUAUCAUGCUCCCUCUUUCCAUGUUAGUAUGCUUUGGUUUGGUUAUACUAAUCUCUCGAGUGAGUACCUCCAUAGUCUUUUUAAAUUAAGCAUGGUGCUUAGGUUAAAUAGACUACCUUAGUCAAACAAGACAUGGUGUUAAGUUUGAUUAUUGAACCAAACAUACUUGCAUGGAACUUGGUUGCACUUUUGGACUACCCCCUGCAGCAAGAACAUCGAUAUCUCUAUGGGUAAGUCAUAAGAUCAUUCAUGGAGACAAACUGAGAUCCUCAUGGUAGAAUACAAGUUUCUUGGCCAAAGAGAACUUCGAUGCAACUAAGAAGGGCCAAUGCUAUGACUCAUCAUCUUCGAGGUAAGUGGCCACCUUCUUAAGAGUUUUCUAGGAGUUUGAUCCUUGAUAGAAGAAGUUGACAUGCUAGAACUCAUCCUUGCUAAAGAUUCAACAAGACUAAAAUCUACAUGUCUUAACUUCUUUUAUAUAUUUUGUGUGGAUUGACCUUUAGGAUAGCAUGAAUACACUUUUUGUCGGUGUUUUCCCCCUGGGGGGUCACACCAACGAGUAAAACUUGUGUGCGUGCUCCCCUUUCCAGAUGGUGAUGCAAGAAAGGACACAAAGAUUUAUCCUAGUUCGGGC